AUUUGUCUGGUUAAUUCCGAUAACGAACGAGACCUUAACCUGCUAACUAGUUCUCAAUACUCUGUAUUCUGCAACUUCUUAGAGGGACUAUGUAAAUCAAUUACAUGGAAGUUUGAGGCAAUAACAGGUCAGUGAUGCCCUUAUAUGUCCUGGGCUGCACGCGUGCUACACUGAUGCAUACAACAAGUGCCUAGCCAGACAUGGUAUGGCAAUCUCGAAUAUGCAUCGUGAUGGGGAUAGAUCUUUGCAAUUAUAGAUCUUGAACGAGGAAUUCCUAGUAAGUGCAAGUCAUCAUCUUGCAUUGACUAUGUCCCUGCCCUUUGUACACACCGCCCGUCGCUCCUACCGAUACCGGGUGAUCCGGUGAACCUUUUGGACUCCGUAUGGGGGAAGAUAAGUAAACCAUAUCACCUAGAGGAAGGAGAAGUCGUAACAAGGUUUCCGUAGGUGAACCUGCRGAAGGAUCA
rnacentral:rRNA from 1 species